GAUGUGGGACACUCUAUCAUGCAGUCGAGCGGACAGAUGGGAGCUUGCUCCCUGAUGUUAGCGGCGGACGGGUGAGUAACACGUGGGUAACCUGCCUGUAAGACUGGGAUAACUCCGGGAAACCGGGGCUAAUACCGGAUGCUUGAUUGAACCGCAUGGUUCAAUUAUAAAAGGUGGCUUUUAGCUACCACUUACAGAUGGACCCGCGGCGCAUUAGCUAGUUGGUGAGGUAACGGCUCACCAAGGCAACGAUGCGUAGCCGACCUGAGAGGGUGAUCGGCCACACUGGGACUGAGACACGGCCCAAACUCCUACGGGAGGCAGCAGUAGGGAAUCUUCCGCAAUGGACGAAAGUCUGACGGAGCAACGCCGCGUGAGUGAUGAAGGUUUUCGGAUCGUAAAACUCUGUUGUUAGGGAAGAACAAGUACCGUUCGAAUAGGGCGGUACCUUGACGGUACCUAACCAGAAAGCCACGGCUAACUACGUGCCAGCAGCCGCGGUAAUACGUAGGUGGCAAGCGUUGUCCGGAAUUAUUGGGCGUAAAGCGCGCGCAGGCGGUUUCUUAAGUCUGAUGUGAAAGCCCCCGGCUCAACCGGGGAGGGUCAUUGGAAACUGGGGAACUUGAGUGCAGAAAAGGAGAGUGGAAUUCCACGUGUAGCGGUGAAAUGCGUAGAGAUGUGGAGGAACACCAGUGGCGAAGGCGACUCUCUGGUCUGUAACUGACGCUGAGGCGCGAAAGCGUGGGGAGCGAACAGGAUUAGAUACCCUGGUAGUCCACGCCGUAAACGAUGAGUGCUAAGUGUUAGAGGGUUUCCGCCCUUUAGUGCUGCAGCAAACGCAUUAAGCACUCCGCCUGGGGAGUACGGUCGCAAGACUGAAACUCAAAGGAAUUGACGGGGGCCCGCACAAGCGGUGGAGCAUGUGGUUUAAUUCGAAGCAACGCGAAGAACCUUACCAGGUCUUGACAUCCUCUGACAACCCUAGAGAUAGGGCUUCCCCUUCGGGGGCAGAGUGACAGGUGGUGCAUGGUUGUCGUCAGCUCGUGUCGUGAGAUGUUGGGUUAAGUCCCGCAACGAGCGCAACCCUUGAUCUUAGUUGCCAGCAUUCAGUUGGGCACUCUAAGGUGACUGCCGGUGACAAACCGGAGGAAGGUGGGGAUGACGUCAAAUCAUCAUGCCCCUUAUGACCUGGGCUACACACGUGCUACAAUGGGCAGAACAAAGGGCAGCGAAGCCGCGAGGCUAAGCCAAUCCCACAAAUCUGUUCUCAGUUCGGAUCGCAGUCUGCAACUCGACUGCGUGAAGCUGGAAUCGCUAGUAAUCGCGGAUCAGCAUGCCG
rnacentral:rRNA from 1 species